UCACUUUGAAUUUAAGAAAAAGAAGUAAUCCCUCCGUUUCCAAAAGGAUGACCUAGUUUGACUUGGAACAGAGUUUAAGAAAAGAAAAAAAACUUUUAAUCGUGUGGUUCUAAAUUAAAGUUAAUAAUGGACAAUAUAAUAGAUGGUAUCACUCAAUUAAUGUUUAUUAUCAUAGAAAGACAUUCUUCUUGUUGAUUUUCAAUUUUUUUAACAAGUAAAUGACUUUCUGGGAUGAUAAAUAUUAGCUGAGUGACCAUUUGGGAGGUCAACACAAUUCUCUCUUAAAUGCUACUUUUUUUUCUUUUCAAAUUUCACAAAAUUUAUGUCCAAACGUCAAUCAAAAUAAAAGACUUUCUCUGUUUUUACAAGUCAAAAGAGAAAAAAAACUAUGUGGAUAUUCAUUGAAAGAUUUAAACCAGAAUAUACUUUGCAAAAUUAUAGAAAUAAGAAUUCAUGUGAUAAAAUACAAAGAGAAUGAACAAAAACAAACCUAAUUAUGUCAAUCAUUAAUGACAGAUUCACAUAACCUGACAUCUUUGUCGAGACAAUUUAAAGAUCUAUUUCAUCUACCAGAGUAUAUAUACCUCUGCAAAAAAAGAGAAAGUUAGAGGAGAUACAAAGAAUUAGAAAGAUAAAAAAGAAAUGAUACCUACUACAACGAGCUGAGAAAGAGAAGAGUACACAUAAAUGUUCCAUAGAGCGAGGAGGGGGAAACUAAGUCAAGUUCAAACCAACUCCAGGAGAAAACUUGUUGAUAAAAGAGGCGGAGUGAAAUGAUGAGUAUCAGGAAACCCUACCAUUUAGAAUCAAUUUAUAGAGUGGUCUAUUUCCUAUUUUUGAUGGACCCUGUUAGGCUGUACUUAUUUGAUUUAUUUGGGCUUAUGUUGGGCCUUUUUGUACAAAAUUUUUAAAAUGGAAUAAAGGAGCUAGAUGCUCCGCAAUUUUAUUUUUAUAGAAAGGUAAAAGUGAUAUGAUUUUUAUAAGAACUAGAAAAUUCUUAUUAUUAUGAUAGGACAAAAUAACAAAAUUAUUUAUAUAUAUAAUUGUACCAUAGAGAUUGUAGUUGAUUUUAAUUAAUUAAUUAAUUCAAUAGAUUAGUUGGAGAAUUGAUGAAAGUUUCAAACUUGUACAUGGUAACUUUUUUUGUUAGUCAUAGAUAAAUAUUUUUAAUUUGAACACUUUUUAUGGAGUAGUGAUUAGUAGAAUGACUUGAAAAAAAAAUAUGAAUUUGUGAGUUAAAGUGAAACAUUUUUUGAAUAAAUUAUUUUUAAAAGAUAUAUUUUCCAAAUCUAAUGCAAAAUCUAUAAUCAAACACUUGUUAAAUAUAUAAGAAUCACAUCACAUAGUUUAAAUAAGGAAAAUGAAUUAUUUUACAAAAGAUCAUAAUCGAUUUAAAAUUCCUAUAUACAAUUGUCAUUUGCAUAACUUAAAUAAUAAAAUAUUUUCUAGCCAAAAUCAUUGUUGACAUAAUAUUUUUUAUAUAUUAGAAAAAUAUUAUAUUAUAAUCUUAUUUAAAUUUUUUUCUCAAAACAUAAAAAAAUUGACCUAACAAAGACGCGUGUGCUUUUUGAUCACAAGAGGGAAAAAUGUAUCUCUAAAUUGGAGAUAUAUCUUCUAAGAUUAUGACCUAAGUAAAUAGUUCACACUUCAUAAAUUUAAAUGAACAUAUACUACCUAAACAUUUUAUUCGUCAAAAUAAAUAAUCUUAUAAGACAUAUACAAAAAAUAUUAAGAUUAGACUCACUAUUUAUAAAAUUUUUAAAAAUAACAAUUUGCAAUAAAGUACUAAUUUACUUCUAAUAUUAAAAUUAUUUAUAGAGAAAAACUAUUCAAAAUAUCUAUUAAAAAAAUAAUUAAAUUUUAUUUUUAAAAAAAUUAAAAUUUACAUGUAUAAUUUUCAUUCAAUAUUACACGUUUUUGGGAGGAUAAAAAAAUUAUUUUUCUUCUUUUAAUCUUGUAAAAAUAUUAUUGUUACCUUUUUACUAUUUUACAAAAUAAUAUGUAAUAUAAUAUAUAGUAUAAAAAAUAAUAAUAUAUAAUGUAAAAUAAAUUAUAACAUAAUGUUGGAGAUUACAGAGCAAUGACACAACGAAAAUAUAGAGUGAUCGACAUACCUCCAACCAUUGCUAGCGAUAUAGUUGGAGUCUACAAUUCUUCUUUUCUUCAAGAAUCUUCUAAGCACUCAAAAUCUCACUCUUAGAUGAUAUAAAGUUUUUAGAAUGUAAUGUGCUUAGGGACCUUUGAACCAAAUAACAUAUUUAUAACCGUCCUUCCAUCAAAAACGGUUAAAAGGUCAUGUGAAGUUACCAACCACUUAGUAGGAUAGUGGAUUCAUGUAGUGGGAUAAUCGGUAUUUAACCAUUAUCAAUGGGCAGUUAACCAUUAUCUCAUUAGGUAGUUAACUAGCUUCCCAUUAGUGGAAUAAUGGGUCCAUGAAGUGGAUAAUGGACCAUCUAAUACGGACCAUAUCAGCAUUAACAAAAAUGCUAACACAUUCUCAUAUAAAAACGGAAAAAUAAGAUUCUUAAAUAUUUUUAACCAAACCUAUUAAUAUGUUAAUUAAUUAAUAAGAAAUAUAUUAAUAAGUGUAUACAUAAAAAAUAAUAUUUUAGUCUUGAGAAAAAUAAUUUUUUGUUUCAGCGUCGAUUUUCUUUUUUAAGCAAAAAUUUUUAGCUUCUUUCCAAUAGCAAAAAAAUUACUUCUAUUUCUAUUUAAAAACUUUUACUGAUUUGUCGAGCAUUUAAUUUUUCAAUAAAAGUACUUUUUUCCCCUCAAAAUAAAUGCUUUAGAUCGUUCGAUAAUAAUGCCAAACAGACUGUAAUAUUGAGUAUAAUAUUACUAUAUAACUCAAUCACUAUCUCAUACAAAAUAAUUAAAAAUCAAUAAGGCAGUCUAUUUAAACAACUAAAUACUCUACCAAUACACAGAGAUAAUAGAACCAAAAAAUAUAAUUGUAAAACUUACUUUAGGCAUAAAAUCAAAACCAUAAGACUUCACAUUGUAGUGAUAAAUGAAUGAAAAUAUUGAGGAAAUAUAAUUUCUAUAGAAGAAGAUUAAAAAUAAUAUCGACAUAUGUAAUGAUUAUUCACUUCAAUUAGAAAUUCAAAUGAUUUGCAUACAUGAAUCAUAAGGAGAUUAGAGAAAUUAUUUUCUAUAUAUUCUUAAUUUUAGGAAAAAUAUAUCGUGAAAUAAAGUAAUGAAAUUACAAAAAUCAUGACAAAACAUUCUGAACAAAUUUAAUAACUAUAAUAAAAUAAUAUAAUAAUCGAAAUACAGGAGAUUAUAAAUGUAUAAAAAAUUUAAAUUAAUUGAUAAGAAAAAUGAAUUUCAUUCUACAACCAGACAAAAUAAUUUAAAAAAAAUAAAAUCUCACCAAAAUGGAGACACCAAUUGGGGAUUAGAUAGAUGAGAUGAAAAAUACAAAAUUGAUACUCAUCCCAAUAUCUCAGUUGGUAUUUAUAAUCGAAAGCACUGAAUAUGUAUUUAUGGGAAUAUGAAAUAAUGUUCAUUAAAUACAAUAAAUAUAGGUUAAAAUAUAUUUUAAUUAAUUUAAAAUUGUUCUGUGAUAGACAUUAAAGCGUAUUAAUUGUCUAUUUAAUUGAAUAAUUAUGUUAUGAUCCCUUUUUAAUAGAGAAAAUUAUAGGGGAUAUUAAACUAUUAAUUGAAAUUAAAUGUUAUAACUAUAGUUUAUGUUAUUUAUAAUUCACAUUAAAUAUUCUAUUUUUUUUAAUCUUAGCCAUUUUCAGUAUACAAUUACCCAUUUGAUAUACAAAUAUAUAAAAAGCGUUUGUGAUUGUAUAAAACGAGAAAAAAGUGUAAAUACAAAUAUAAAUAUAUAUAUUUUCAUUUUAUACGCUUAUAAUUAUACGAAUACAGAUCUUAUUAUACAAAUUAUAAUGCAAUAUAUUCAAUUUAUACAAAAUUAAACAGUUUGUAUAAAGUUGAAUGUAUCUAGAGAAUUAUACAAAUCAAAAGUCUUCAUAGCAAACAUGAAUUUGCUA
rnacentral:lncRNA from 1 species